UAGUCCACGCAGUAAACGAUGAGUGCUAGUUGUCGGGAUCUUAGGAUUUCGGUGGCGAAGCUAACGCGUUAAGCACUCCGCCUGGGGAGUACGGCCGCAAGGCUAAAACUCAAAGGAAUUGACGGGGACCCGCACAAGCAGUGGAGCAUGUGGUUUAAUUCGAUGAUACGCGAGAAACCUUACCAGCUCUUGAAUCCUAGUCGCGAUUUUCAGAGAUGGAUUUCUUCAGUUCGGCUGGACUAGUGACAGGUGUUGCAUGGCUGUCGUCAGCUCGUGUCGUGAGAUGUUAGGUUAAGUCCUUUAACGAGCGCAACCCCUAUCCUUAUUUGCCAUCAGGUUAUGCUGGGAACUAUAGGGAAACUGCCAACGACAAGUUGGAGGAAGGUGGGGAUGAUGUCAAGUCAUCAUGGCCCUUAUGGGCUGGGCUACACACAUGCUACAAUGGUGGUUACAACAGGACGCGAUGGAGUAAUCCGGAGCCAAUCCCUAAAGACCA
rnacentral:rRNA from 1 species